GUUUUUUGCAAUUUUUGGCGUAUGCCAUCUCGAAGCAUAUACAAACAAGCUUGACGGUUGGAUUGUUGAAAUUAGUUUCGUAGAAUGCGUAUCCCAUCAAAACGGUAGAUUCACUAACACUUAGAGUUUAUUUAUACUUUUAUUAAGUAUAACAUAAGAUUUUGUGUUAUCUACUAUUGUAAAUUUUAAAUUGAAGAUCAAAUUCAUUCAUUGUAUUCAUAUAGGAUUAAAGAGUGUAGAUAUAAAAAAUAAUCAAAAUCGGAAUUAAAAUAACCGUUAAAUCGUGAUUUUUCGUUUUAUAACCAUCAAAAAGUUUUCUUUGGAUACUUGAUCUCUGAAUGUUUGGUUUUUACGAUUUUUCGCUGAUGCGAUCUCAAAGCAUAUACAAACAAGUUUGACAGUUGGAUCGUUGAAAUUAGUUUCGUAUAAUUCGUAAUUCAAUGGUAUACAUAUAUAUAUUAUGUUGAUUUAAAUCUAUUUAUUUUGUACGUAUAAUUGACCAGUACAUGGAGUAGUACAUCAUAUGUCAUUAUAAAAAUAGUGAGAUAUGUGUGAUAAAAAGUUAAUAACUUAAAAAAUAAAAUUUCUCACCACUUCUAUUAAAACACAUGGUGUAAUUUGUAUUCCCGUUACAAUGAAAAAAUUCUCAAGAAAAAAAAGGAGAGAGAGUUAAAUAAAGUACACGUGUCAGGAACACAGCUGUCGGAUCUUAUCCUAUCAAUAACAAUUAACAAGUGCACACUUGAGAAUUGAGAUGAGAGAACCAUGGUGGAAAACCCCACCGUACUACUAGUAGCAAGUAAAAUACCACUAGGUCCCGUCUUUCCCUCUCUUUUUUGUUUCCUUUUCUUAUAAUUUUCAUUUUUCCCUCCCUUUUUCUUCAAUGGGCGGAUGCAUCAGCAUGCAUAUUAAUUAUUAUAGUAUUUACUCCCAUCUUCCCCUCUUUUUUGUUUCCUUUUCUGAUAAUUUUCAUUUUUCCCUUCCUUUUUCUUCAAAGGGUGGAACGGUGAUUGCAUAUUAAUUAAUAAUUAUUAUAGUUUUAAGGGGUAUAAAAUUCAAUUUAAAAUUUAAUAUAUAUAUAU
rnacentral:lncRNA from 1 species